UACGUAGGGUGCAAGCGUUGUUCGGAAUUACUGGGCGUAAAGGGCUCGUAGGCGGCCAACUAAGUCCGACGUGAAAUCCCAAAGCUUAACUUUGGAACUGCGUCGGAUACUGGAUGGCUUGAAUUCGGGAGAGGGAUGCAGAAUUCCAGGUGUAGCGGUGAAAUGCGUAGAUAUCUGGAGGAAUACCGGUGGCGAAGGCGGCAUCCUGGACCGACAUUGACGCUGAGGAGCGAAAGCUAGGGGAGCAAACGGG
rnacentral:rRNA from 1 species